rnacentral:tRNA from 1 species
UGGGCUGUCGCCAAGCGGUAAGGCAACGGACUUUGACUCCGUCAGGCGCUGGUUCGAAUCCAGCCAGCCCAGCCA